CCCUUAGAUGUCCGGGGCCGCACGCGCGCUACACUGAAGGAAUCAGCGUGGCUUUCUCCCUGACCCGAAAUGGUUGGGAAACCCGUUGAAUCUCCUUCGUGAUAGGGAUUGGGGCUUGAAAUUGUUCCCCAUGAACGAGGAAUUCCCAGUAAGCGCGAGUCAUAAGCUCGCGUUGAUUACGUCCCUGCCCUUUGUACACACCGCCCGUCGCUACUACCGAUUGAACGGUUUAGUGAGGGCCUCGGAUUGGUCUCGGCCCGCUCUUUACCGGGCGGCGCCGUUGGUCGAGAAGACGCUCGAACUUGAUCGUUUAGAGGAAGUAAAAGUCGUAACA
rnacentral:rRNA from 1 species